rnacentral:tRNA from 1 species
GCAUUGGUGGUUCAGUGGUAGAAUUCUUGCCUUCCAUGUGGGAGACCCGGGUUGGCAUCCUGGCCAAUGCA